rnacentral:lncRNA from 1 species
CGAAGAAGAACGUGACCGAGGAGUCCUAUUGCUUCUCACCCUAUUCCUCCUCCGAUACUCAAUCCCCACACAAACCAUAUGCAACACGCAUUGCAGCGCAUACCCCAAGAGCCAAACCCUAAGCGGCAUUAUCGGAUUCUCAUUCCUGGCCAUCACCAGAACAGCCCCCGCCACCGACACAAACGCCAAGUUCCACACGAUGUCCAGCACCACGAUGGGCUUCGAGUAGGCCCAAUCGCUCUGCCUCUCCUCCAGCUACUCCGCCGCCGCCUCCCUCACGACCAUAGACGGCUAAGUCUUCAACGAAGAAGCUCAUCACAAGAACAGCAGCAGCCACCGAGACAAAGGCCAAGUUCCACACGAUGUCGAGCACCACGACGGGCUUCGAGUAAGCCCAAUCGCUCUGUCUCUCCUCGAGCUGCUCCGCCGCAGCCUCCCUCACGAGCAUAGACGGCUCCCG